CUAACGAAUUGAGACAAGAAGUCUCUGCCCUAAUGAACCUCCCUAUUGGUCACAGGUAGACACGUGUUUCCUCAUUGGCUUGAUAUCGAGGCCACCUGUCAUUUACUGCAAAUCUGUAGUUAAAACGUAAACAAUGAAGAAAGCUGGUCGAAAGCAGACUGCCCAAGAAGAAAACUGGAAAAGGGGCGAGGGCCAAAUCAAGGCAAGCGACGAAAGCUGCGAACGCACGCUGGGAGAAAUAUAGAGAAAAGAAAGCAAGGGAGAAACUGGAAAACGCUACCGGGACGUCAUUUUCGAAGUCGUCUAGCGACGAAACUAUCAUUGGUAAGGGACCCAAGGAAAAGUUUGUAAUGAAUAUGGACGAAGUAAAUGAACUAUUACAACAUGCUGUUUGUGACGUUUGCCGAAACUGCCCCUUACAGCUAUGGCCAGAUUAUGAAGGAAACGUGUUCCUUAUAUGUGGUUCGUGUGAAUAUAGACAUAUCGUCAAACAAAAAGGAGAAACCAGCUAUAUUGGCAGUGAACUGCUGAACAGGAAAUAACCAAAUAAUAGUAGACACGUGUUUCCUCAUUGGCUUGAUAUCAAGGCCACCAGUGUCAGUUACAGCAGUAAACUGUAAAAAAAUGAAGAAAGCUGGUAGAAAGCAGACUGCCCAUGCAGAGA